rnacentral:rRNA from 1 species
AGAGUUGAUCUGGCUCAGGAUGAACGCUAGCGAUAGGCCUAACACAUGCAAGUCGAGGGGCAGCACAUGAGUAGCAAUACGAUGGUGGCGACCGGCGCACGGGUGAGUAACACGUAUGCAACCUGCCUUUAACAGGGGAAUAACCCGUUGAAAAACGGACUAAUACUCCAUAACACAGGGGUCCCGCAUGGGAAUAUUUGUUAAAGAUUUAUCGGUUGAAGAUGGGCAUGCGUUCCAUUAGCUUGUUGGUGAGGUAACGGCUCACCAAGGCUACGAUGGAUAGGGGAACUGAGAGGUUUAUCCCCACACUGGAACUGAGACACGGUCCAGACUCCUACGGGAGGCAGCAGUGAGGAAUAUUGGUCAAUGGAGGCAACUCUGAACCAGCCAAGUCGCGUGAAGGAAUGAAGGUCUUAUGGAUUGUAAACUUCUUUUGCAAGGGAAUAAAGUGGGGGACGUGUCCUCCUUUGCAUGUACCUUGCGAAUAAGGAUCGGCUAACUCCGUGCCAGCAGCUGC